UACGUAGGGUGCAAGCGUUAAUCGGAAUUACUGGGCGUAAAGCGUGCGCAGGCGGUUCGCUAAGACAGAUGUGAAAUCCCCGGGCUUAACCUGGGAACUGCAUUUGUGACUGGCGGGCUAGAGUAUGGCAGAGGGGGGUAGAAUUCCACGUGUAGCAGUGAAAUGCGUAGAGAUGUGGAGGAAUACCGAUGGCGAAGGCAGCCUCCUGGGCCAACACUGACGCUCAUGCACGAAAGCGUGGGGAGCGAACAGG
rnacentral:rRNA from 1 species